CUUCUUCGGAAGCGAGUAAACUGGCGAACGGGUGAGUAACGCGUAGGCAACCUACCCUUUAGACUGGGAUAACAUCGUGAAAAUGGUGCUAAUACCGGAUAAUAUCAUAUAUCAUCAGAUACUAUGAUUAAAGGUGGCUUCGGCUAUUACUAUUGGAUGGGCCUGCGUCUGAUUAGCUUGUUGGUAAGGUAAUGGCUUACCAAGGCAACGAUCAGUAGCUGGUUCGAGAGGAUGAUCAGCCACACUGGGACUGAGAUACGGCCCAGACUCCUACGGGAGGCAGCAGUGGGGAAUUUUGCGCAAUGGGGGAAACCUUGACGCAGCAACGCCGCGUGAUCGAAGAAGCUUUUUGGAGUGUAAAGAUCUGUCAUAGGGGAAGAAAGGUUUUUAGUUUAACAUGCUAAAGAUUUGACGGUACCCUAUAAGAAAGCCCCGGCUAACUUCGUGCCAGCAGCCGCGGUAAUACGAGGGGGGCAAGCGUUGUCCGGAUUCAUUGGGCGUAAAGAGUUCGUAGGCGGUCUAAACAGUCAAAAUUGAAAUACCACGGCUUAACCGUGGGCCCGGUUUUGAUACUACUGGUCUUGAGUGAGGUAGAGGUAAGCGGAAUUCCUGGUGUAGCGGUGAAAUGCAUAGAUAUGACAUGGAACACCUAUUGCGAAAGCAGCUCACAAAACCAUUACUGACGCUCAUGGACGAAAGUGUGGGUAGCGAACAGGAUUAGAUACCCUGGUAGUCCACACCGUAAACUAUGAUCACUAGAUGUUGGCGAUAAAAUGUCAGUGUUAAAGAGAAAUCGUUAAGUGAUCCACCUGGGGAGUACGUUCGCAAGAAUGAAACUCAAAGGAAUUGACGGGGGCCCGCACAAGCGGUGGAGCAUGUGGUUUAAUUCGAUGAUACGCGAGGAACCUUACCAAGGCUUAAAUGUAAAACGACCGGUUGAGAAAUCGACCUUUUUUCGAACGAUUUACAAGGUGCUGCAUGGUUGUCGUCAGCUCGUGCCGUGAGGUGUCGGGUUAAGUCCCAUAACGAGCGCAACCCCUAUUUCUAGUUGCCAGCGAGUAAUGUCGGGAACUCUAGAGAGACUGCCCGUGCAAACGGAGAGGAAGGUGGGGAUGACGUCAAAUCAUCACGGCCCUUAUGUCUUGGGCUACACACGUGCUACAAUGGUUAUUACAAUGAGAUGCAAUCUGGUGACAGUGAGCUAAUCUAUAAAAAUAACCUCAGUUCGGAUCGGAGUCUGCAACUCGACUCUGUGAAGUUGGAAUCGCUAGUAAUCGCACAUCAGCCAUGGUGCGGUGAAUACGUUCCCGGGCCUUGUACACACCGCCCGUCAAGCCAUGGAAGUUUGGAAUACUUAAAGUCAGUUACUGAAAAGAACUGCCUAGAGUAAAACAAGUAACUAGGGCUAAGUCGUAACA
rnacentral:rRNA from 1 species